rnacentral:rRNA from 1 species
AAAUUGAAGAGUUUGAUCAUGGCUCAGAUUGAACGCUGGCGGCAGGCCUAACACAUGCAAGUCGAACGGUAACAGGAAGCAGCUUGCUGCUUUGCUGACGAGUGGCGGACGGGUGAGUAAUGUCUGGGAAACUGCCCGAUGGAGGGGGAUAACUACUGGAAACGGUAGCUAAUACCGCAUAACGUCGCAAGACCAAAG